CUCAAAUGCCAUUUUUCUCCCCCUUUCGGAGCCCUCUGCUCCGCAAGAUAGGACGGAGGCUGGGGGCGAAAUGUCUAGGAGGGAAGAGUCGAGAGAUUGUGAUCCCCCUCCCCAUGGUUUCCUAUUCUACUUCAUUUGAAAUAACAUUCCAGUUCUAUGCAGUUCAGAAAGUCCAUAAAUAUAGAACUUCAGCUUCAUAAUUCCCAGGAUUUUGUACUGCUGUUUGGAAGAUUAUGGGAGCUGAAUUCCCAACAAAGCUGGCGACUUCAAAUUGAAAAUGGUUAAGAUUAAAGUCAUCUUGCAAUAAAUAAAUUGUAUUAUAUGUGUGCAAUACUAAAAUAUCCAAAAAAAUAGCUCUUAGGAUUUAAGUGUUAAAGAAUUAUAUUUAGAUUCUGUUGUUAUACAAAAUGCACACCAAUUUUAAUGUCUCUUAAUUCUAAGUUAACAUGACUUGAUUUAACUAAAAAUAUGCAAAACAAAA